UGGUACCUGGGGUGUUUGACAGAGAACACAUAUCCCUGAGCCGAUACUUUUUUUAAAGGACGUCAUCUUUCUUGCUAUUGCGCAAGCUCGGCUCGCUUUCGAGCGUGAAUCGAGAAGCCUACGGUGAGAAUAUGGUGUCCGCCUUGAACACGUCGGUUGUUCAAGGGUUUGGUUUUCAUCGGCACCUUGGGACCACC
rnacentral:other from 2 species